UAGGGCCUACGGGGGGCAGCAGUGAGGAAUAUUGGUCAAUGGGCGCGAGCCUGAACCAGCCAAGUCGCGUGAGGGAUGACGGUCCUACGGAUUGUAAACCUCUUUUGCCGGGGAGCAAGCGUGCGUUCGUGAACGCACGUCGAGAGUACCCGGAGAAAAAGCAUCGGCUAACUCCGUGCCAGCAGCCGCGGUAAUACGGAGGAUGCGAGCGUUAUCCGGAUUUAUUGGGUUUAAAGGGUGCGUAGGCGGGAUGCCAAGUCAGCGGUAAAAAUGCGGUGCUCAACCCCGUCGAGCCGUUGAAACUG
rnacentral:rRNA from 1 species